UACAGAGGUCUCAAGCGUUGUUCGGAUUCAUUGGGCGUAAAGGGCGCGUAGGCGGCGGGGUAAGUCGGGUGUGAAAUCUCAGAGCUCAACUCUGAAACUGCACUCGAUACUGCUCUGCUUGAGGACUGGAGAGGAGACUGGAAUUCACGGUGUAGCAGUGAAAUGCGUAGAGAUCGGGAGGAACACCGGUGGCGAAAGCGGCUCACUGGACCGUAACUGACGCUGAGGUGCGAAAGCUAGGGGAGCAAACGGGG
rnacentral:rRNA from 1 species